UAAAAAGUUGUGGCAAAGAUGGCUUCCAUAUCCGGGUGCGGCUCCACCCCUUCCACGUCAUCCGCAUCAACAAGAUGUCGUCCUGUGCUGGGGCUGACAGAGAUCCACAUCUCAAAGAAGUGGGGCUUCACCAAGUUCAAUGCUGAUGAAUUUGAAGACAUGGUGGCUGAAAAGCGGCUCAUCCCAGAUGGCUGUGGGGUCAAGUAUAUCCCCAAUCGUGGCCCUCUGGACAAGUGGUGGGCCCUGCACUCAUGAGGGCUUCCAAUGUGCUGCCCCCCUCUUAAUACUCACCAAUAAAUUCUACUUCCUGUCCACCUAAAAAA
rnacentral:lncRNA from 10 species